rnacentral:rRNA from 1 species
UACGAACUGUCCAAACGUUAUUCGGAAUCACUGGGCUUACAGGGUGCGUAGGCGGCUGGCCAGGUCUGAUGUGAAAGUUCACAGCUCAACUGUGAAAUUGCAUUGGAAACCGGUCAGCUUGAGUCAGCUAGGGGUCCGCGGAACUUCCGGUGGAGCGGUGAAAUGUGUUGAUAUCGGAAGGAACGCCGGUGGCGAAAGCGGCGGACUGGGGCUGCACUGACGCUGAGGCACGAAAGCCAGGGGAGCGAACGGG